rnacentral:rRNA from 1 species
AACGCGAAGAACCUUACCGGGAUUUGACAUCCUACUAACGAAGCAGAGAUGCAUUAGGUGCCCUUCGGGGAAAGUAGAGACAGGUGGUGCAUGGUUGUCGUCAGCUCGUGUCGUGAGAUGUUGGGUUAAGUCCCGCAACGAGCGCAACCCUUAUCCCCAGUAGCCAGCGGUAAGCCCGGGCACUCUGAGGAGACUGCCAGGGAUAACCUGGAGGAAGGUGGGGAUGACGUCAAAUCAUCAUGCCCCUUAUGAUUUGGGCUACACACGUGCUACAAUGACGUAAACAAAGGGAAGCAGCCCUGUGAAGGUGAGCAAAUCCCAAAAAUAACGUCUCAGUUCGGAUUGUAGUCUGCAACUCGACUACAUGAAGCUGGAAUCGCUAGUAAUCGCGAAUCAGAAUGUCGCGGUGAAUACGUUCCCGGGUCUUGUACACACGC